UACGAAGGGGGCUAGCGUUGCUCGGAAUCACUGGGCGUAAAGGGUGCGUAGGCGGGUCUUUAAGUCAGGGGUGAAAUCCUGGAGCUCAACUCCAGAACUGCCUUUGAUACUGAAGAUCUUGAGUUCGGGAGAGGUGAGUGGAACUGCGAGUGUAGAGGUGAAAUUCGUAGAUAUUAGCUAGAACACCAGUGGCGAAGGCGGCCAACUGGUCCGAUACUGACGCUGAGGUGCGAAAGCGUGGGGAGCAAACAGG
rnacentral:rRNA from 1 species